UGGAAGGGAGAAUGCACAAUAAAUUGGGUAAGAAAUAUUUCGGACCUUACAUAAUUUCAAGAAAAAUUAAUCCAGUAGCAUACCAAUUGGAAUUACCUUUUGGAAGCAAGAUCCACCCCUCUUUCCAUGUGUCAAAGUUAAAAAGAUUUUAUGGUCCUCCUCCUGCAAAUUCAAGAAAUUCUAAUCCUAUUAUAUCAAAAGAAAACAGGCCAAUAAUCUAUUCAGUGGCGAUUUUAAAUCACAGAACAAUAUUGCAAAGAGGUAUGAAGAAGAAACAAUUACUGAUUCAAUGGAGUGAUGCAAUACCUGAAGAUUCUACAUGGGAAUCCGCUGAAGAGGUGCAUGGGUUAUUUCCAUUCAUCAACCUUGAGGGCAAGGUCGAUUUUGAAGGGGGAAAUGAUGAUGCGAUACCACUAGAAUAUGAAACCGUCAGGGAUGCAGUCGCUGCUAUCGCUGGAGAUGACUCUGAAGAAGAAGAAGAAGAAGAAGAAGAAGAAGGAGACGACGCGGUCGGAGGAUAUGAUGUGGUGAACGUCGGAGGUGAGGGUUCAGGCGAUGUUGAAGAAGGGGGAAACAACAACAAUUCAAAAUCGUUGGGGAUUGCUGAACCAGGUCCUAAUAACCCUCCCAGACCAAGUCGGACCGGCCAGAAGCCCGUUUGGAUGAAGGACUAUCAAAUUGGCUCGGACUUAGAUGGCUGAACCAGAAUAGCUAUUGGGAUAAUUAAUUAGUAGUCCUUGCUUUUUAGUUAAAUUUCAAAAAAGACUUUUAUAUAAAUGCUGUAAGAAUUUUAUUAGAAUUCAAUCAUUGAAUUUACAAAAUCUUCCUCAAAACUCACGCCCUAAUUCACCCCUCCAUAAUUCCUGCUAUUCCGCCGUCACCUCAUCUCCAUCUGAUCGGAUUAUCUCUCAUCUGUGUUCUGUCUGCCGUCGAACUGCCGGAUCGAGCUCUCUUCUGAAACGAUUAACAUCGAAUUUCUAGUUAGUUCAAAGACUCGAUAUCAGGGAUUGAUCCCUCUGCGAUUUGCUUUGGAUAUAUAUCUGGAGUGAAAACUUCCAGAUCUAAAGCACCCUCGAUUAUCAGGUUAACUCGAUUUUAUCAUUGAGCUUAAAACUGUGAUCAAGGUGUCUAGUAUUGGUGCUUUCAACAUUUUUUGAACUCUUUUAAUCAGGAUGGCCUCUGCUUCUACAUUUGAUUUGGUUUCUCAUCCAAACUUUAUAAGACUCCAGGACCUGCAAAUGUCGCAAAUCAGGGAGUUUACUGAGUUCAGAACAACAGUAAAUAACAAUUUCAUGCAACUGGGCAAACAAUUAACAGAUAUGUGCAAUAUUGGAAUGAAAAAGAAACCUCCAGAUUCAUACAAUAUGAAUAAUGCUGAAAAUGAAAUAAUGGAACCUAAUAUAGGUUGAAGCAAUCUGAAAAUUAUUACCAGUCAGUGGUAAAUCUAGACAGCCCCUGUUAUGCCCAAAGCAUCUUAGCUGAUCCCAAUUAUGCUCCUCCAAAACAUGUCAAAGUGAAUAUGCCUAGAUUUGAUCACUACAAAAAACCAGCGUAUUUCUGGCGGCCGCUUCCUGGCCGUCGGAAAAUAACACUAGUCCGCCGGUACAAUUUUCCCCACUUAAAUGUGAGAAAUGAGCUGGUGGCCAGGCCGCCGGGAUCUUUUUUUGUUAAGUUACCGGCGGCCAGGCCGCCAGAAAAUUUUCCCCAUGUAAUUGAGAGAAAUUUUCUGGCAGCCAGGCCGUCAGGAAUUUCAGGAAACCCUAAAAAUUUUCCAUUUGCGCCGCCGUGGUUCUCUGUACAGUCAACCCUAGUCAACUAUAACUUAACUAUUUCCUGGCGGCCAGGCCGCCAGGAUUUUUUAUAUAUAUAAAAAAAUUUUCAGAUUUCUUUCAUUUCUCCCAACUUCUACCCACUCCUCCCCAACUCUUUUCCGACGAUUUGAGCACAUCUGGUCAUCUUUCCAAGGUAUUUUACUCUCCUUCUUCAUCUUCCUCUUCUUCUUCUUCUUCUCCAUCUUCUUCUUCUUCUUCUUCGAUCUUGUCCUCUUAUUUUUCAUCUAUUCUUUUUCUUCUUUUUCUUCUUCUUUUUUUUUUCAUUUAAUCUUCUUCAUUUAAUCUUCUUCAUUUAAUCUACAUUUAAUCUUUUUAUCUUUUGUUCUUCAUUUGAUUUAUUGGUGUUUAAUUUAAUUAGGGGUUUAUCUUUUUGGAGGUUUAUGUAUUUGGGGGUUUUAUUUGGGGGUUUAUGUAUUUGGGGGUUUUAUUUUAUGGUUAGAUGUUAGGUUUUGAAAUUAGUUAUUUUUUGGUUGAUUUAAUUAGAGUUGAUUUACUGUUUUAAUUAGGGGUUAAGUUUAUGAUUUAAUUAGGGUCAAGUUUAUGGUUGAUUUAUGUAUGUUGAUGAAAUGAAAUAGUUAAAUUAAAUGAAAAAAAUGAAUGAAAUGAAGUUUAUCGGAUUUAUGUAUGUUUAUGGUUAAAUUAAAUGAAAUGCAUGAAGUGAAGUUAAAUUAAAUUAGAGUUGAUUUACUAUAUUUAUGUAUGUUGAUAUAAUAGGUUGAUUUAUGUAUGUUAUUUUGUAGUUUUAGUUUUAUUUAGUUUAAGUUUAUUUAGUUAGUUUAAGUUUUAUUUAUUUAGUUUUAGUUUUACUGUUUUAGUUUAUUUAUUUUUAGUUUUAUUUCAUUUUAGUUUAUUUAUUUAGUUUUACUGUUUGAAUUUAUUUAAUUACAGAUUAAUUAAGUAAUUUAAUUGGGGUUUUAAUUAUGUAUUUAAAUUAUUUUGUUAUAGGUUGGAUUUCUUCAUCGCCGGUCAUCCGUCGAACUGUUUUUCCGUCGGACAUCUCCUGGUCGGUGUUUUGAAGGUUUGUAUAAUUUUUAAAUUUAAGUGUUAUAUGUGUUAUGUGUGUGUUGUAUCUUGUAUUUUGGGGGUUUAUGUAUAUGAUGUUUUAUGUAUUUGUGGAUUUCAUUUGGGGAUUUGAUGAUAUUAUUUUGGGGGUUUAUGUAUAUGAUGUUUAAGUUUUAGGGUUUUAUUUUUUAAUUUGAGAUUAAUUAUCAGGGUUUUGAUUUUAUUAUUUAGGGUUUUAAAUUUUUUUGUUUUUACCUUUUUUUUUGCCGGGUAGAUUAUCCCGGCGGCCUGGCCGCCAGAAAUUGAAAUUUACACCAAAAAAUUACUAGCGGCUAAGCCGCUAGCAGUUUCGAUGAACAAUCGGAUUCCAAAAAAUAUUACCAGCGGCCUGGCCGCCUGGAAAUGACCAAGCUGGCGACAUUACUUCUGGCGAUGGCAUACCGACGGCCUAGCCGCCAGGAUACCAUUUACCGGCGGCCAAGCCGCCAGAAAUACGCUGAUUUUUUGUAGUGGAUGGGUCAGACGCCGAGCAUUGGAUUUUUGAUGUAAGAAGAUACUUCAUCUUCAAUAAAAUCCCUGAAGAACAGAAAUUAUUAAUUAUAUCCUUCCACCUAGAUGGAUUGGCAAGAAAAUGGUUCGCAUGGAUGGAAGCUAGUAACAUGUUUACUAAUUGGGUUAAUUUUGUGAAUGCAGUAAUCAGAAAAUUCACAACACUACACUAUCAAUUAUCCGGGGGGAAAUUAAGCAAACUUUGUCAAGAGGGUAGCUUAACAAAAUAUCAGUCAAUUUGAGGAAAUGUGUACUAGAGUAUUGGGUCUUCCCGAAUACUUUAUUCUGGAAAUGUACAUCUCGGGAUUGAAAGAAGAUCUGCAAAAUUAAGUAGUAUUGAGAAAACCUGUAGACAUUCAUGAAGCAAUUGAAAUAUCAAACAUGAUUGACAGCAAGAAAAGUGGCCAAAAAAAUUAUUACAAGCAAAAUACAGCAAAACAAUUAUCCACAUAGUCAUUCCCUGCAAAGAAUGAUACCAUUACUACAGAGAAAGCUACUGAAAAACAGAAUUUAACAAAGAGAUUAUCUGUUUAACAAAGAAGGCAGAUAGGAGAAGCAAAGGACUAUGCUUCAAUUGUGAUGAAAAAUAUAUUCCUAAUCACAACCAAGUAUGCAAAGCUAGACAAGGGAAGUUAUUCAGACUCUCAGCCGAUAAUAACUACAUGGUGGAGUUAGAAGAUCAAGAAUUAGAGGAAGAACAAGAGUGUAUGACUGAAUUAGUGGAAGGUGGCCAAACUGAAAUUUCUUUGCAUGCAUUUGUGGGGCACAUCAGCUCAAAUACCAUCAGAUUAAAUGGGGUGAUUGGAAACAAAUCAGUAAGUGUGUUAAUUAAUACCGGGUCAACACACAACUUCAUGCAAGAAGAGGUGGCAGCAGCCCUAAAACUUACUAUACAAUGCAUUGUUCCAUUUAAAGUAUCUACGGGCAGUGGAGAAAAAUUAACAUGCUCUAAAAUAUGCAAGGGUAUAGUGAUCGAAAUUCAAGGCACUCAUAUUAAAAUGGAUAUAUUUUUACUUAGUAUGGUUGGAGCUAAUAUGGUUAUCGGAAUCCAAGGAAUGAAAACUCUUGGACCAGUAACUUUUGAUUUCGAAAAAUUAUUGAUGGAAUUUAUAUGGCAGGGUGAUAAAGUAAGUUGGCAAGGAUUAAAUUGGAUCUCUGACGAACCUCUAUCCGGAAGACAAUUAAAAUGCCUAAUUGCCUCAACUCAAGAAGCAUAUUUGUUAUAUAUGGAGAAAAAAGAGGAUGAUAAAGAGAUUACAGUCUUAGAAACACCAUAUCCUGAAUUGACCGAAACCAUUCAAGAAUAUUCUGAUAUUUUUGAAACACCAAGUGAGCUCCCUCCCCAAAGAAAAAGAGACCAUUUCAUACAUUUAGAACCAAAUUCCAGACCUGUUAAUGUUAGACCAUACAGGUAUCCUCAGUUUCAGAAAAUUGAAAUUGAAAGGCUAGUAUCUGAGAUGCUAAAUCAGAAAAUAAUCAAAGACAGCUCAAGCCCUUAUUCUUCACCAGUCUUAUUAGUGAAGAAAAAAGAUGGAGGCUACAAGUUAUGUGUAGAUUAUAGAGCCCUAAAUGCUCUGACCAUAAAGGAUAAAUAUCCUACACCAACGGUAGAUGAAUUGUUGGGAGAACUGAAGGGAUCAAAAAUAUAUUCUAAGCUGAAUUUAAGAUCAGGUUUUCAUCAAAUCAGAGUAUAUCCUUCACACACAGAGAAAACUGCAUUUAGAACCCAUCAGGGACACUUUGAGUUCCUUGUCAUGCCAUUUGGCCUAACGAAUGCUCCUGCCACUUUCUAGGCAGUAAUGAAUUCAGUAUUUGAAAAAUAUUUAAGAAAAUUUGUCAUUGUGUUCUUUGAUGACAUCUUAAUAUACAGUGCUUCAGUAAAAGAUCAUAUUACCCAUGUCAACUCUGUAUUUAACAUUCUCAGAAAGACAAGCUGCUGGCCAAGCUCUCCAAAUGCUCUUUUGGGAGGGAAUCAAUGACAUUUUUAGGUCACAUCAUUGCCUUGGAUGGUGUGCAUCCAGAUCCUGAAAAAAUUAAAGCUAUAGUAGAGUGGGAAGCUCCUAAAACUAUUAAGAAACUAAGAGACUUCUUAGGGCUCACAGGAUAUUACAGAAGGUUCAUUAAGGGAUAUGCACAGAUUGCUGCCCCAAUGACUGAUUUGCUAAAAAAGAACUGUUUUAAAUGGUGUGAUGAGGCAGCUAAAAGUUUUGAAAAAUUAAAAGAGGCUAUGGUAACAACUCCAGUACUUAAUUUUCCUGAUUUUUCUAAACAAUUCAGCAUAGAAACAGAUGCAUGCAAGAGUGGUAUAGGAGCUGUCCUAACACAACAUAAUCAUCCAAUUUCAUUUUUCAGUAAAAAAAUAUCAGGAAGGAUUAGUGGAGCAUCUAUUUAUAUUAAAGAAAUGUUUGCUAUUACUUCUGCAGUUAGCAAAUGGAGACACUAUUUGUUAGGUACUCAUUUCAUAAUCAAAACAGACCAUAAAAGCCUCAAGAAUUUACUUACUCAAGUAAUACAGACACCUGAGCAACAGGUCUUCCUCUGUAAGCUGUUGGGAUUUGAUUUUAGUAUUGUCUAUAAACCGGGGAAGGAAAAUGUGGUGGCAGAUGCUCUCUCUAGAUCCUAUGAAGAGGAGGAGGAAGAAAUUAUAUAUUCUAGUAAUUCUGUGAGUUCCCCUGGAUCACUACUGGCAUUAACUGUAACCAUUUCUGAAUUAAUAGAGGCAUUGAAGAAAGAAAACAUAAACAGCCCUCAAUCACAAUAUUUAAUUCAGAAACAUUCAUCUGCAAUAAGAGGCUUAGAAGGUUAUAUGGUCAGAGAUAGAGCUUUAUUUUACAAGGACAGAUUUUUUGUUAAUCCAGAUUCUCCAUUGAUUCCAAAAAUCUUGUUUGAAUGUCAUGAUUCUGUUUUUGGUGGACAUGGGAGUGUUAAAAAAACUUGGAAGAGAGUGGCUAAGAAUUUCUAUUGGCAAAAAAUGGGCCCUACUAUAAGAGAGUAUGUUAAAAAAUGCAUCAUAUGUUAACAAAUGAAACCUACAAAUUCUAAAUCUGCAGGACUAUUAAUUCCACUGCCUAUACCAUCCAAAGUUUGGCAAGACGUGACAAUGGAUUUUAUUACUGACCUCCCUAAAGUCGAAGGAAAGUCUGUAAUUAUGGUGGUAGUCGAUAGACUAUCUAAAUAUGCACAUUUCAGUGCACUUCCUCCAAAUUUCACAGCCCCAAAGGUAGCUGAAAUUUUUCUUAAAGAUAUUAUUAAAUUGCAUGGCAUUCCUGUAUCUAUUGUAUCUGACAGAGACAGAGUAUUCACAUCAAAAUUUUGGAAAGAAUUGCACAAGCUCAGUGGUACCAAGCUCAAUUUUUCUUCUGCAUACCACCCCCAAUCUGAUGGGCAAACUGAAGUGGUUAACAGAACCCUAGAGAUGUAUUUAAGAUCCUAUUGCUAUGAAUGUCCUAGGAACUGGUUGAAAAUGUUACCAUGGUCUAAAUUAUGGUAUAAUUCAAGUUACCAUUCAUCAUUGGGCAUGACACCCUUUAUGGCUUUAUAUGGGAAGGAAUCUAUUGAAAUCCCUCAUUACAAGGAAGGAGAAUCCCCAGUAGAGGCUGUUAACAUAAACCUAAAUAUGAGAGAAGAAAUCCUACAGAAAAUCAAAUAUAAUCUCGAGCUGGCCCAAAAUAAGAUGAAAAUUCAAGCAGACAAAGGAAGGUCAGAUAUAUCGUUUGAAGUGGGAGACUGGGUAUUAGUAAGAUUGAUACCUUACAGACAAGUGACUGUAGAAGGGAGAAUGCACAAUAAAUUGGGUAAGAAAUAUUUCGGACCUUACAGAAUUUCAAGAAAAAUUAAUCCAGUAGCAUACCAAUUGGAAUUAUCUGCUGGAAGCAAAAUCCACCCCUCUUUCCAUGUGUCAAAGUUAAAAAGAUUUUAUGGUCCUCCUCCUGCAAAUUCAAGAAAUUCUGAUCCUAUUAUAUCAAAAGAAAACAGGCCAAUAAUCUAUCCAGUGGCGAUUUUAAAUCACAGAACAAUAUUGCAAAGAGGUAUGAAGAAGAAACAGUUACUGAUUCAAUGGAGUGGUGCAAUACCUGAAGAUUCUACAUGGGAAUCCGCUGAAGAGGUGCAUAGGCUGUUUCCAUCCAUCAACCUUGAGGGCAAGGUCGAUUUUGAAGGGGGAAAUGAUGAUGCGAUACCGCUGGAAUAUGAAACCGUCAGGGAUGCAGUCGCUGCUAUCGCUGGAGAUGACUCUGAAGAAGAAGGAGACGACGUGGUCGAAGGAGACGAUGUGGUGAACGCCGGAGGCGAGGGUUCAGGCGAUGUUAAAGAAGGGGGAAACGACAACGAUUCAAAUUCGUUGGGGAUUGCUGAACCGGGUCCUAAUAACCCUCCCAGACCAAGCCGGACCGGCCGGAAGCCCGCUUAGAUGAAGGACUAUCAAAUUGGCUCGGACUUAGAUGGCUGAACCAGAAUAGCUAUUGGGAUAAUUAAUUAGUAGUCCUUGCUUUUUAGUUAAAUUUCAAAAAAGACUUUUAUAUAAAUGCUGUAAGAAUUUUAUUAGAAUUCAAUCAUUGAAUUUACAAAAUCUUCCUCAAAACUCACGUCCUAAUUCACCCCUCCAUAAUUCCUGCUAUUCCGCCGUCACCUCAUCUCCAUCUGAUCGGAUUAUCUCUCAUCUGUGUUCUGUCUGCCGUCGAACUGCCGGAUCGAGCUCUCUUCUGAAACGAUUAACAUCGAAUUUUUAGUUAGUUCUAAGACUCGAUAUCAGGGAUUGAUCCCGCUGCGAUUUGCUUUGGAUAUCUGGAGUGAAAACUUCCCGAUCUAAAGCACUCUCGAUUAUCAGAUUAACUCGAUUUUAUCAUUGAGCUUAAAACUGUGAUCAAGGUGUCUAUCACUUUCCUUUAUAUGGCUUCAAUUUUGAAAUGUGAAAUGUAUUGUGGAUUUUUCUGCCUUGAGGUAAUGCCACGGUGUAUGCUACUCUGCUGAUCUUCUUUAUGAUUUUAUAUGGACCAAAGUACUUCUUGCAUAGUUUAUUGUUCAAUCUGUAGGCCACAGUGCUUUGCUUGUAUGGUUUUAAUUUGACCCAUGUCCAAUCUCCCACCUUGAAUUCAAUAUCCUUUCUCUUUGUAUCUGUCUUGAGUUUUAUUAGUUCCUUGCAUUUCUUUAAGUUAAUUUUUAUAUGUUCCAGAGCUUCUUCUCUCACUUGCAUAUUUGAAUCCACAGCAUCUAUGAUUGAGUCCCCCAGAUUGUAAUGUGUAAUUCCUGGUGGGUCUCUGCCAUACGUAUAACACAUUAAAAGGUGUUAUCUUGAUUGAUGGUGCCUUUAUCUAACAUUUCUGAAAUUAGCUUCUCGAUCUCAUUUUUUUUUGAAAUUGUGGGUACUUGUAAGGUCUCACAUUCACUACUUUAGCUCCUGAUACUAAAUAUAUCAUAUGGUCUCUUUCUCUUUGUCGGGGCAGGCCUGUAGGAUCAGAGAAUAUAUUUGAAAAUUCUUUUACUACCUCAUGAAUUUCUGAUUUUUCUUUGCUAAGAGAUAUGUUGGUUUCAUCACUUGAAGAAGCUUCAUGAUAGCAUAAAUAAACCUCUAUUGUUACCUGAUACAAUCUUUUCAUUUCUCCCACCGUUAAUGGAUCAUCAGAGAUCCAAGAUAUUCUUUGCCAAGUUACUUCUUUUCAUGCCCACUUGAAUUUCAUUGUCAAUUUUUCAUAAUUUGAAACAACAUACUCCAAUUUUUUUAACCAUUGUAUCCCAAUUACUAAAUUUGAUCCAGCCAUGGUUAUGAGAAAUACAUCCAUUGUUAUUACCACACCUUGAAUCUUUAUCUCUACAUCUUUACACACUUUAUUACAAGUAAGAUUUUCCCCACUUCCUGUGGCUAUUUUAAAUGGUCUAGUAGCAUGUAUAGUUAAUUUUAAAGCAGAUGCUACUGUUAGUUGCAUGAAAUUAUGUGUUGAACCAGAAUCUACUAGAAUACUCACAGAUUGUAUUUUUAUGAAUCCUUCUAACCUGAUUGUAUUUGGAUUCAUUUUUCCCUUGAAUGCAUGCAUUCUAAUACCCAUAGGAGUUUCAUUACUUCUUAUGAUGGGAAUUUCCUCAUCUUCCUCCUCCAUAUUUAUAAUUUCUUUUUGUUCUUUCAUUUCUAGAAAAUAUGACUCAUCAACAGAUAGCAUGAACAUUUUACCUUUGCAUUUAUGCCCUGGUACAAAUAUGUCAUCGCAGUUGAAACAGAGUCCUUUUGCUGUCCUUUCCUUUCUUUCCUCUGGUGAUAAUUUUUUGAAGAUUGGUUUAGUGGUGGGUUGUUCCUGACUUCCUUUUGCAUACUGAAUUUUUUCUGUUGGUGUUGGAUUUGUCAGCUCCUUGGGUUGAUAUCUCCAAUUGUUUCUUGUUGAUUUAGGGAUCCAGCUUGAUCCACUUCCCACUUGCUUCCCUUCAACUAAGGCUGUCAUGUCAAACGUUUCUUGUAUAUCGUUUGGCUUAAAUUUCACCACUUCUUUCUGAAUGUCCUCUUUUAGGCCAGAAAUAAACAUUUCCAGUAUGAAAUAAUCUGGUAGACCUAGACACCUUGUGCAUCUUUCUUCAAACUCUGUUUGAUAUUCAGCUACAGAACCCAACUGUAUUAAUUUGCUUAAUUUACCCCUUGGGAGAGUGUAGUUACCUCUGCUGAAUAUUUUACAUAAGUCUUUAACAAAUCAUUUUCAGUCAGUGAGAAAAUUGCUACCCUAUAUCCAUGAGAACCAUUUUCUUGCUAUUCCAUCCAUGUGAAAUGAUGCCAUCAAUAAUUUUUGUUCUUCCGGAGUCUUGUUGUAGAUGAAGAACCUUCUUAUUUGAAAUAGCUAGUCUUCUACAUCAUUGUCAUUAAACCUAGACAUAUUGACAUUAAUGUUUCUUGCUGGACAAUACUUGUCAUCAUUUAAUAUACUAGUUGCAUAUAUAGGGUUAUCAAGAUCCACUAAAGAUAAAUAAUUUUGAUCACCGAAUUCCCUAUUUUGUUUGCUAUGUUCCCCAUCGGGUGGUUCUGAGUCUUUUCCUUUCGUUAUUUGAUUUGAGAUCUGUGAUAUAGUGUUUGUUAUAGCUAUUCAAAAUUCUGUCAUCUCCUUUAAUCGCUCCAUUUGUAAUUAUAUCUUGAAAUCGAGAUUUGCAGAUAAUUCCAUAUUAGACGCCAUUGUUUUCUCUGCAAUUAAAUGAGUUCGGAAAUUUUGAAAGCAUCAAUGAUACAACUCUCAAGGAAUUGAUUAAUUUAAGGAAUCACUUCACCUGGGAAGAAGUGUGUCUCUGGUCCAGCGAUCAGUGAAUCAAGAAUACCUAGAGACGAGCGCAGCGGCCAGCGAGGAUAUACCUCUGAUAUCAAGACUAAGUCCGUUACAGAGGAUCGUUGUGAAGCUGUCUGUCCGGAAGCUUGAUGCGACUGGAGGAAUGACGAGUGCGGAGGCGGUGGUCGGAGGUAUUCGAUCUACUGUCGGAGGAGGUGAAGGACGUGGUUGAUAAAAAAUAAAACUGUUUUAGAAAAAAUUGGUUGUCUUUUCAUUCACUCAUAAAAUGCUUAAAUAGGUCAAUGUUAGUAACCGUUGGUAGUUACUUUUAUGUUGGUAACCGUUGAUAGUUACUUUUAUGUUGGUAACUGCUUGUAAUUAUCACAACAUUUUAAUGUAAACCAACUUCUUAAAAUAAAAGAGUUAUUGGGCCGGCCAAAGACUACAUUUAAUCUUCGAAUUGGGUGAAUUUACGCGGAACCUUAACCUCUCUAAUCGAACGUCCAUCUGCCUGAAUUUCCUCGUCUUGAAUUACAUUUCAAUCCUGCGUUACAUGUUCUGUCACAUUACGCACAGACGACCGGAUCGUAUCAAUUGCUUAGUUCUUAUAAGAUGAAAGGACCAACAUGUUACAUUUGGCACCAAUAUAUAUGAUUGGUCGUUAAAAAUCUUUUUCUUGAUGUACCCAAUAUUAUAUAUUCUAGCCAUGGGUCGUAUAUAAUUGGUUAAGACCUCAUCUGACUGAUACAACUAUAAAUAAACAUUUUCAUCAACUUUCUCAUUCUUAUCCGCAAUGAAUCCCUAUUUUUAUUUAAUACAAC
rnacentral:lncRNA from 1 species